GGUUGACCUCGGAUCAGGAUGGAAUACCCGCUGAACUUAAGCAUAUACAUAA
rnacentral:rRNA from 1 species